AUCAGUGCAGAGAAAAAAAAGGGGAGAGGAAUAAAUCCCUCCGGCCUGGACGAUUUCCGGUCGCCAGAUUGAUGCCCAUCCGUAGCCGGCGUCCGCCGUGCACGGCGGUCGAAGGUGCAAAAGUGAUGCUAAAUCGAUUCCCCUGGUACUUCUCUCUCCGGAUUCGUGUUUUACACAAGCAAAAAGCCCCUUCGGUGGUCGAAUCGAGCCACGGAAACCAUUCGGCUUCUGGCUUCUCUGAACCUUGAGAAGGUACCAGUGGCGGUGGAUGUGACCCGAGUUAGUGGCUGGUGCUGCAGAGUCGUCAGAGGCAAAUGGGGGGCAAAGGGGAGUUGGCCGAACGGCUAGGGUUUCCUUUUUUCUGAUUUUUUUAUUGGGCUAGGGCUCUUUUGGGCUUGGGGUAUUUGGGCUGUAAUUUAAUGGGUUUAGUGGGUUAUUUGGGCCCGGGCAAAAUGGGCUUGUACAGUAUUGAUUAAAAUCUCAUGAAAGUUGCAUCAUCACGUUUGGUUCA